rnacentral:rRNA from 1 species
GACGUAGGGUCCAAGCGUUGUCCGGAUUUACUGGGCGUAAAGAGCGCGUAGGCGGUCCGUUAAGUGUAGAGUGAAAGCUCCGGGCUCAACUCGGAAAUUGCUCUGCAUACUGGCGGACUCGAGGAUGGCAGAGGUUUGUGGAAUUCCUGGUGUAGCGGUGAAAUGCGUAGAUAUCAGGAGGAACACCGGUGGUGUAGACGGCUCUCUGGACCGUAACUGACGCUGAGGCGCGAAAGCUAGGGGAGCAAACAGG